CAGGAGGGGAAGGCGCGUCCAGGUCCUCAGCCAGCCGGGGUGUUAACAAGCAAGAGCACCUCUCUCCUUCAAUUCUUGCUAACAUCUUUGCAGCUUCUCCAGGUCCCGUAGAAGAUGUCCUCAGUAGCAAAAUUGGCCCUAGCCUGGACUUAAGACAUUACAUGGGGUCUGUGGUAUUUGUGCA